CCUAGCAUCCCUUGAUCUGAAUAGGCCUAGGAAGAGAAAUCAGUAAAGGGUUGCUGAAUAAGGUACUUAUAUGAUAAUAUCUUGAAAUCUCUCUAUCUAUGAUACUACUAUCUGAGUAUUGAAUACCAAAAGUUCGAUUCACGUCUGCAAAUUAUUGUAGAGAUUUUAGGUUAGUAAAAAAUUUGAGAAGAGCGAACGAUUCUUGAAUGUUGG
rnacentral:lncRNA from 1 species